rfam:Ictidomys tridecemlineatus contig012438, whole genome shotgun sequence.
GGUGAUACAGCUCAGUGGUAGAGUACUUGCCUAUCAUGCAUAAGGCCCUGAGUUAAAUUCCAGUGUCACAA